GACGAACGCUGGCGGCGUGCUUAACACAUGCAAGUCGAACGGAAAGGCCCUGCUUUUGUGGGGUGCUCGAGUGGCGAACGGGUGAGUAACACGUGAGUAACCUGCCCUUGACUUUGGGAUAACUUCAGGAAACUGGGGCUAAUACCGGAUAGGAGCUCCUGCUGCAUGGUGGGGGUUGGAAAGUUUCGGCGGUUGGGGAUGGACUCGCGGCUUAUCAGCUUGUUGGUGGGGUAGUGGCUUACCAAGGCUUUGACGGGUAGGCGGCCUGAGAGGGUGACCGGCCACAUGGGGACUGAGAGACGGACCAGAAGCCUACGGGAGGCAGCAGUGGGGAAUAUUGCAGAAUGGGCGGAAGUCUGAGGCAGCAACGCCGCGUGCGGGAUGACGGCCUUCGGGUUGUAAACCGCUUUCGCCUGUGACGAAGCGUGAGUGACGGUAAUGGGUAAAGAAGCACCGGCUAACUACGUG
rnacentral:rRNA from 1 species